AUGUUGACUGCCCCCGUGUCAAAGAUCUAUUUACUUUUCUGUAUCUCUGUGACUUAACUCGAGAGCAGAAAAAAAGUGCUCUUUUCCCCAUGGGAUUUAACUGCUCUGAAUCCAGGUUUUAAUAUCCUGGGUGGCACAUAGUAGGAGCUUAAGAAAUAUCUAUUGAAUGAAGGCAUGAGUGUUGCUCAUCUCCAAAUCUGGCCCCAACACCUAGCACAUUGUAGGCCCUCACCCAGGACUCUAUUUCUCUUGCAGGAAAUCGAAUCACUCUGGAUUCAAAUCACCGAAAGUUCCUGGUUGGGGGAGGAUCCCUUUUUAAUCAGCAUAUCUGGAUUUUGCCUUUUUCUGAACCAGAAUGUUUCCCCUGGUUCUACUUGACUAAGUUUAAAAGGACCAGUGGGGCUCUUCUCUGAAAAGUGAAAAAGGAUGCCCUUUGCACCUGUGUUCUCUGGGCCAUUUCUAGAGGAGGGAGGAAGGAAGGAGGGAAUGAAAGGAGGAAAAAAGGAGGAAGGAAGAAGGAAGGAAGGAAAGGUCUCUUUCCCGCUGGCCAACAUCUUAGAGAGAAAGAUUUGGAGUCAAAACCAUCACCCCACCAGUCUAAUGAUGUGGAUGGCACAUUCAGCCAAAACAGCCUCAGGCCCUUUUUCCAUGAUUUUUAUUUAUUUGGCGGCUGAGGUCCAGUCUGGCUUUGCAAGGCUGCUCUAGCCCUUCAUCUGCCCCCUUCUAUCUCAUCCUCUGUAAUUGCUUGGUUCAUUAGCCUCUUGGGGUUGGCAGAGUAGAAAGUUUGUCUCCGCAGGGUGGUCCAGGGUAGAACAUUUUGUGUUGGUGAUAGGCUUACAACAGAAAGUGGUGCAGAUGCUGGGGACUGGAAGGGCAAGUCUGGCUUCCACCCUAUAUGGCCUCCUUACAGGGCCACACGGUCCUGGCCUGUCAUGGAGAAGCCACUGCAUAUGGCUUUAUAGAUAUUUUCUGGUUUGUUUCUAAUACAUUUUAUAGAAGUUUAUUCUGAUGUUGCCCUAACUUUUACUUCUUCUUAUCAGUUGUCUUUUCUGAAGCCACAGAUACUUUCUGGUUAUUCACUUUUCUCUCCCUCUCUGAAACAAACAUAAUAUCAAUUAAGAUUUUAAUAUAUAUCAGAGAUUUGCCUUGGUAUUUUCACACCUGUUGUCUCAUUUAUUCUUCACAAGACUCCUACAAGGUAGAUAUUAUUAGCUCCGUGUUACAGGUGGGGGAAUGGUGGCAUAGAGAUUUUAAGUUCAUAGAGCUGCUAAGUGUCUUUUCAUUACACUCGUGAUCUGCAAAAGGGCUCAGAGCAGGGGAGCUGGCUGUUGCAUGGUCUCCAUUCCAGUUCCGGGGCUGUGUACUUGCGUGGCCCCAUGCGUCUCACCUUGUCUCUCAGUUUCUUCGCUUGCAAAGUGAGGCUCACGCUCCUGAGAGCCAUGAUGAGCAAAUGCUGGGGAGGGUGGCAAAGAGAUUCUUUCCUGCUGGCCACCCAGGUCCCUCAGUUGACACCUCUGCCUUUUGGCCCCAAAGUUUAUGUAUUAACAGCCCUCAAAGGCGUGCAGUUCUAAGAAGCCCUUGAGAGCGGAGCCCUGCCAUGAGCUCUGGCAGGUGGAGCAGGUGGAGCAGGUGGGGGUCUGGGGGCUGCCUUGUGUCUCCUGUCUGGGGAGCUGCAGAAAGGCCAGUAACCAUGGGGAGUGGGGUUGAGGUGUUUGGAACAAAAGGGGACGAUAAAGCUAAUCUCAGAGUGUGUGUCUGUUAUCUUCGAGGAACUCAAAUACGUGUGUUUGUGUAGUGUGAGGGCGGGUCUGUGUACACACGUGAGCAUGCCUACCUGUGCGUCAGUGAGUGUGUCCUGUGUCAGAAUUGUGGCACAGAGAUUUUAAUUUCUCUGAGCUGGGAAGUGUCUUUCCAUGACACACAUGAUCUGCCUGCCCCUUUAAUGGUCCUGCUUUGUAUCCACUGGCAGGUUCUUUUCCAGGCUAUUUUGGCAUUUGGUUUCUUCACCAUCACACACGGCAGCCUAGACCGCUGUGCUUCUAUUUCAUGGUCUCCUGUAACAAAUGCUUCCGAACGUGGGCUCCAACGCUAAUUUGUUGAUGGUUAUUAUUUCCUGAGAGGAAAGAAAUGUUUCUCUUCUUUUAUCUUUCCAGACCCUGAGGGGCCGAUUCUCCGUGGCUCUUUUGGAGCAGAGGUAACCAAGAAAUCAAUAUAGCCGUUAGAUUAAUCCAUGGCAACUAUAAUGUCACUGCAUCUCCUGUCCCAUGAUGUUGACAGAGAUGUCACAGCUGGGAGGAGGGGAGGUACUUAAGAGAAGGGACGGGAGCAUUAAAACCCCACGGAGCCUCACUUAGUGGACGGGAAAUUGCAGGUGGCUGCCUCAGGCAUAAUCAGGUCUUCCUUCAGAGAACGCACUGACUUGGCAUCAAGCAUGGCAGGGGAUCUGCAAAGCUCAAGCAUUGGGAGGUCCUUCAGGAGAUGAAAUCAGCAGCCGUGGAAUAGCAGCCUGAGCUGGAAUCUCUCUCCUUUAGGUACCAGGGGUUCAGCAUCGUCAGAGAUGGGGCGGGGUGGGCAGAUCCUAUGUGACGUCUUGCUUCCGGUGGCUCUGGAAAUUUAAAAUUAUGAUUAUGGGAGUCCCUGUCAUGGCUCUGUGGUUAACGAAUCUGAUUAGGAACCAUGAGGUUGCGGGUUUGAUCCCUGGCCUUGCUCAGCGGGUUAAGGAUCCAGCGUUGCUGUGAGCUGUGGGGUAGGUCGCAGACGCGCCUCAGAUCUGGCGUUGCUGCAGCUCUGGUGUAGGCUGGUGGCUACAGCUCUGAUUCGACCCCUAGCCUGGGAAUCUCCAUAUGCCACGGGUGUGGCCCUAGAAAAG
rnacentral:lncRNA from 1 species